AGAACGAACGCUGGCGGCAUGCCUAACACAUGCAAGUCGAACGAGACCUUCGGGUCUAGUGGCGCACGGGUGCGUAACGCGUGGGAAUCUGCCCUUGGGUUCGGAAUAACAGUUGGAAACGACUGCUAAUACCGGAUGAUGACGUAAGUCCAAAGAUUUAUCGCCCAGGGAUGAGCCCGCGUAGGAUUAGCUAGUUGGUGAGGUAAAGGCUCACCAAGGCGACGAUCCUUAGCUGGUCUGAGAGGAUGAUCAGCCACACUGGGACUGAGACACGGCCCAGACUCCUACGGGAGCAGCAGUGGGGAUUUGGACA
rnacentral:rRNA from 1 species